rnacentral:lncRNA from 1 species
GGAAGUUGUAAAAAAAGAAGAAAAAAAAAAAAUUGGUCCCCGAGAGAGAGAACAAACAUUCUAAGCCACUCUGACUCUUACAAACAGAAUCUCUGAUAACCUCACAGUGCCUCGGCUACAGGGUGGCAACAAAGGUAGCCGCCAACCAAUGGCUUUGACAGAAUGAGGCACCCCUUGGCAUGCCUGCUAGAGGCAAACAGAUCUCUCUAGCACUCAUCCAGGGACUGGGGAGGUCUGGGGAGGCUGGUUUGCUCCACUGCGCCCCCUCCCUUUUUUCUGCCUCGCAUUCAUGUCUCUCUCAUUUCAUUCCUGUGGAGCCAACUCUGAAGCUGUUGAAAGAGGAUUGACUAUUGCUCCAUCAGCCACCUGGCAGCCCGCAACCACGACCAGCUUUACUUAAACCCAUGAGUGGCUUCAAAAGGAAAAGCAGGGGAAAAGGGAAAGAAAAAAAAGAGAAAAAAGAGGUAGAUGGCAUGCAGAUGGUAGCCAGGCCUUGGAAACUGACUGCAGCACCGAGAUACAGAAGAACAGAACAGGUGAAAAACAGGAAUCUACGGAUCAAAACAACAAUGUUCUGAAAUGAGCAACAACAGGGGGAUGGGGAAAAACUACCCUCCUCCAUUGCCUGCAGCCCAGAACAGCAGGUGUGCCUAUUUUCAGAGGAAAUAAUCAGAAAUGAAGGAAUCUGAGAGAUCAUCAACUGGCCAGCAUCCCCAUUUUACAGAUAUAGAAAUUGUGGCCCAUUUCCCAGCUUGCACUUUCUAAGUGACUUGGAUGAAUCUGAAGACAAAACCUGAUUGGACCGUUUACUUGCUCCUCUGCACCUAGCUGCUCUGGGACCAGAUGUUCUCUGACUUCUCCGAGCUAACACAUCUCAUCAACUGACUUGAUGUGCUGCUCUGCCCAGCCUUUAGCAGACCAUCUCCCGGGACUGCCUAAAAACACACUACCCUUGUGCUGCUUUUGAAUUUGCAUCCAGAUGAAAUCCAGUUCAUGGGAACCACAAGGACAGCCUUUAAAGGGAAAAGCAAAGGAAAUUUCACAAGAGGGCAACCAGCUGCAUGAGGAGCAGAGGAGACAAAGAAGAAGGAAUUGAUUACUGCCUUGGUUGACGUUAAGUGAUUAAUGACAUUGAGUGGACCCCCCCCCCAACACACACACACAGGAUCUCUGCAGAUUCCAACCUUCUUCCCCAAACUUGGAGGCUGGGAAUAUUUUCUCCCUCCCCUGGAUCUCAC